ACUUUCAUGCCCUAUUGUUACCCGGUUGAUCAUAUUCACUUCAAAUGCAGUGACAACAGCCUGAACACAUUGAUGAUGCAUCCCAGUGAAAAUGGUGACUUGUCAUCAAAGGGCGUGUCUGUGGCGGCCAAACCAAUUUCGAUGUUUCGCCAUGAAAAUGUAACGAUUCAUAUCUCAGCUGAACAACAUCCUAUCUGCCUCAGACUUCACAUGCUGGAUACCAGGUCCAGUCUGAACACAUCCACACUCAUAAAUUCUGAAAAAGUCAUAGCGCCACCUGUUGGUAAUAGUAAGUUUAAGGCCUUAUAUUUUCAGGUACAAUGGCCCCAAACUUGGUGAUAUCAUGCUGGAAAUUGGUCAGUCGAGUCUUCACCUCUUGACAAUCACACACUGUGAAGGGUGUGACAUUUCAUGCAACGCUGUUGCUGUAGCAACCAAAUAUCGCCAUGAAAAACAAAGCCCUUUCUGACAGGUUAGGAAUACUCCAAUGCUCACAAAAAUUACCACACAUCACCAUUGACCCAAGGAACAACACUGUAUGCAUCUCAGCACUGCACAUGUUAUAGCGCCCCCUACAGUAUUUUUAACAAACAGCCCCCCCAGCACGUUUCACCUACAUCCAUGAAAUUUGGGAGGCUUAUAGAGCACAUCAGGACGCACAAAAAAGCCUCUUGGAGCCAUGUCCUAAACCCAACAGGAAGUCGGUCAUCUUGGAUUGAUUGUGAGAGUUUUGAUGAUUUUUCUCUUUUUUGAGAGUUAAUACCUCCUUGGGGAUAAUUCCAGGUGUCGGUCAGUAUAGCCUUCUUUAACCCUUGCCUCAGGUUAAAUCAAGACCAGCUCUCCGUUUAAAGGGUUAGAUUCUAUCUGCCUAUUAGUAUUCCACCUAACAGGUUUCAGCAGAAUAAUUAAGCUGGUGUCGAGGAAUACUCGCCUAGGUCCUAACUGUCUUCUUCCAAACGUCUUACCCCUCUUACUCCAAUAAAUACUCUCUUACUAAGCAGCCCA